rnacentral:lncRNA from 1 species
GCGCGAGGUUGGGGGGAGCUGCGGCUGAUGGACGAUUAGUUCUCUCAGUUCAUCUCCAGGCAAGGGAGUAAACAAAUUAAUCUCGGAGCGGGAGCAGCCUGGAAGAUGAUGGAAGCCUUAAGGAUCCAGCAGCGUCUUUGCUGGGAAACCAGGAGGUACCACAGAGGCCCAGGGUGGCCUUAUUGCUGGCUCUGAGAGGUCAGGCUCUGGUCUGAGGUCACACAGUGAGAAGGGGCGCUCCCGCUGGGUUUUGAGAACAAAGGGAAAGUUGGGAAUAGUGCUACUUCUCCCAGACAAGCUUUGCCAGGGAUGAAGCCUCAGCUUCCCAGCCUAUUCUCUUGACCUCCAGGACCCCCCAGUAUCACCUCUCUUGCUACAGCUUCUUCUCUUACCUCUCCUUCCCAAUCUCUGGUACCAGGUUCAUUUGCUCACUUUCACCAGCCCUUGUUUCUGCUCACAACCUUCAGUGACUCACUAUCACCCUUGGACUGAAGCUCAGAUUCCUCCCUGUGACAUUCUGGUCCCUCCAGGAUAUUACCACAACCCAUUUUUCCAGUCCAAGUGCCCACUGCUCUUUGCAGCUGCAAUCAGGUGCAUCUAAGAAGGUAUGAAGGUGAAGAUGAGGAGGUGCAGGGAGAUAGUGAUAUGCCCUGAGGUACUGGGGGUAAAAACCAAGCAGAAACCAGGAGCAUCAAAGUUCUGGGAAUCAGCUUUACUCCAUCUCUAUCAACACCUGCUCUGGAGAACACAGAUGAAAGAAGAAUAUGGCAAAAAUAUGAAGCUGGCUCUUCUAUGACCAAAUCUUAGGAAACAAUAUUUGAAUUCCUUGUUACUCAAAGAAGGCUCCAACAGUUAGCAGCAUCAGCAAUACCCAAGAGCUUGUGAGAAAUGCAGAAUCUUAGGAUCUUCCCUAGACCUACUAAAUGAGAGCCUGAAUUUUAACAAGAUUCCCUGGUGAUUUAUAUACAUGUUCAUAUAUACACAUUUUUUUAAAGUACAAAUCUACCUUAUUUAUCAACAGGACAAUAAAGACCCUUUUAGAC